rnacentral:rRNA from 1 species
GACGAACGCUGGCGGCGUGCUUAACACAUGCAAGUCGAACGGAAAGGCCCUGCUUUUGUGGGGUGCUCGAGUGGCGAACGGGUGAGUAACACGUGAGUAACCUGCCCUUGACUUUGGGAUAACUUCAGGAAACUGGGGCUAAUACCGGAUAGGAGCUCCUGCUGCAUGGUGGGGGUUGGAAAGUUUCGGCGGUUGGGGAUGGACUCGCGGCUUAUCAGCUUGUUGGUGGGGUAGUGGCUUACCAAGGCUUUGACGGGUAGCCGGCCUGAGAGGGUGACCGGCCACAUUGGGACUGAGAUACGGCCCAGACUACUACGGGAGGCAGAAGUGGGGAAUAUUGCACAAUGGGCGGAAGCCUGAUGCAGCAACGCCGCGUGCGGGAUGACGGCCUUCGGGUUGUAAACCGCUUUCGCCUGUGACGAAGCGUGAGUGACGGUAAUGGGUAAAGAAGAACCGGCUAACUACGUG